rnacentral:rRNA from 1 species
UACGAGUGGUGCAAACGUUAUUCGGAAUCACUGGGCUUAAAGGGUGCGUAGGCUGCUAUGAAGGUCUGGUGUGAAAUACCACGGCUCAACCGUGGAAUGGCAUUGGAAACCACAUAGCUGGAGUGAGACAGAGGUGAGCGGAACUGAUGGUGGAGCGGUGAAAUGCGUUGAUAUCAUCAGGAACACCGGUGGCGAAAGCGGCUCACUGGGUCUCUACUGACGCUGAGGCACGAAAGCUAGGGGAGCAAACGGG